rnacentral:lncRNA from 1 species
AUGUGUUGAAGUACCUCAAAUAAAUGAGCAAUCAGAGAACCACAGGAUUUGCAAGAUAAAGUGGGUGCUUACCUGUUUGGUUUGCCAUCUGCUUUACUUUGGACCAAAUACCAGUGUAUUCAGUCCAAAACAACAGUGUGUAUUUCUUUUAUUAUCUGUGCUGCCUGGUUCAUAUUUAAUCAGAUUUUUGUUAUUUUAUUACAGCUCUUUACUGAUAUGAAUUAGGUAAUUAAAAGUCCUCUAGAAAAAAUUUAACACCUGUUCUGUGCCUUAAAUAUUGCUCACAAAACUCAGAAAGCUGUGAAACUUUAUUUUACCGAACAGAUCAUUAUUAUUGUAAUGUGAAGUGUUACACAUUCUUUGCACUUCUGUUUUCUGAGGAAGCUGUUGAAGUCUGAGGGAAAGCUGGCUGCUGCUGGCUCUAAUUGUUACAAAUUAUGUAAAAAUUAUUCCAGAAACAGAAAGGAAAAAUCCUUUUUUUUUUUUUUCCUUAUUUAUUUAUUUAUGUGUGUGAAAGUGAUGUUUCCAUGUUUAAACAAAGAGUUGUUAGUGACUAGUUUUUAAACUGAUAAUUUCAAUUGGCUUUACUCCAUCAACCACAAGGAAAACACCUGGUGACUGCUUAAUCCCAGCCAACACUUGUUAACCUUUUGGCCUUCACGGCAACUAUCAGCAGGCACUAAGUCAGUGGUACUAAUAAACUGGCAUUAAAACUUCCACCUGCUAAUAACAUCUUAUUGCUUUUCAGUAUUAAAUAAAAGGAAAUGAUCUGUUUAAUUACAGUCAAAGAAAUUUUGCAAUGCUAUGCUGCCUUGGAUGGUGGUAAUAAUAAUGGAAUGUAUCGAGGGUCGUGGCUACAUGGACUGAUGGCUAUAAAGAUAUGAUACUGUAUGUCUUCACCCUUCUGGAUCAGUGAUGUAUUUGCACAGUUGGGGAAAAGCAGACGAAGAAGAGCUAGCUUUGGGGCUCUUAAACCGCAACGUACAUGUACAAUGUAGGCAAUCUCAGCUUGUCUGGGACACUGCUUGUCCUAGUGGAGUACUGCUCAGGCAACAGAUUUCUUUCCGCAUAGUUGAAGGAAUCAACAUCAGCAGGGGGUAAGAAGGUGUCUUCAUCAAAUUAAAUUCAUUUACUUUCACAUGCGCAUGUAACCAUUUCUCUGCACCGACCGUGAAAUACGGUAAUGGGUGCAGAGCCUGUCAGCUCUAGGCCAUCCGUUUAAAUUGGGCCCAAGCUGGCAAGGAUCAUCAGUCUUUAUUCUCUGUUGGUCGUACA